rnacentral:rRNA from 1 species
UACGUAGGGAGCAAGCGUUGUCCGGAAUCAUUGGGCGUAAAGCGCGCGUAGGCGGCCCGAUAAGUCCGCUGUAAAAGUCAACGGCUCAACUGUUGAAAGCCGGUGGAUACUGUCGGGCUAGAGUACGGAAGAGGCAAGUGGAAUUCCUGGUGUAGCGGUGGAAUGCGCAGAUAUCAGGAGGAACACCCAUAGCGAAGGCAGCUUGCUGGGACGUUUACUGACGCUAAGGCGCGAAAGCGUGGGGAGCGAACAGG